rnacentral:rRNA from 1 species
GGUNUACCUUUUGGGUAGGCGACACUCGUCUGUUGCUGGAAGUAAACCUCCUUAGGGAGUUAAUCAGCUGCUGCACGCUCGCCGAGCGUACAGCCCACAGAUCAAACACGAGUGGCCGUCUCCUUUUCCCUGGCGGAAGUCCUGUUGCUCGUUUUGCUCGGGACGUAGUUGGAGGAAAGACAGAGUCGGUUAAGAUAUGACCGUAGCGGCUCCGCAAGGAGACUGACGCCCUAGUUCCGUAGGUGAACCUGCGGAAGGAU